GGAAUGUUGCUCGUGGGUGCUGGUUGAGGCAAUGGGAGCUAACCUCUGCUGUGGGAUCCGCCGAUGAACUGCUUCGGAGCCCCAACUACUGUGCAGUCUCCGAAGACACGCAAGUGAUCUUUCGUCGACGUCAACAGCCACAUCUUUGCCGCUGCGACGGAAGCGCCAGGGGAACCAAGGCCAAGGCAUAAAAAGGCGUCCCCACAAGCCUGCCGUCAUUCUGGCAGUAGCAGCGGAGAGGCCUGGCACGCUGUCUAAAUCUGCUGAAAACUUUUUGCAGCAAGGAAGACGGAGGCCAUGCUGCUCCACCCAAGAGCUGGAAGGCGUCCGCUUACCCUCGAGCAUGGCAGUGACGUACCUGGGGCUGCUCAUUGAUCAACGGCUGUCCUGGCUACCUGCUGCCAGGACCCUGCACGCCCAGGUUCUCUGGGUUCGCAAGGCAGUCUCCCAGCUUCUUGCCCGAGGACAGGGCUGUACCACCAGACUCCACGCUGACCUAUGACGAGUCGAGAUGAGCAGGGAGUGCAGUCUGUCAGCCGGGUAAGGCGUUGUUGACUCGGAUACACGCGUUGGGCAACACACGCACGGCGUCCUUUCCGAGCCCGCGGGAGAAAGAUCGAGCGUGCCGGAGACAUCGGAUACGCAGGGCUGUACACGGUGUGUAGGCGCGCGCGCGUGCCAGCGAACGCCGCCACAAGUGCAAAGCAAAAGAAGCAAGGACCCCGGCUGGCUCGUUUGUUCAGUAGCGGUGGCGUCGGCGGCAGCUCCCGGUGUUGACUGCAACGUGAGAAGCGACGGCCCCCCUUUGCUGCCGGCCGACGCCCGCGUCGAGUGCCAUCGGGCGCCGUGUUUUUGCAGGCCAAGUUGUUUGCCUUCGAGAUGGCCGAGGUGCGGGCUCUGCACACGCCGCCGACUACGCACUUGAGUGCAGUGGUCAGACAAGAGUGGACCAAGGCCUCGCACCGACCGUGCAGCCGCAUUGAGCCCCAGUCGCCAUUCAAGUAGAUCGCUCCUUGGCGCCGGGGAGGUCUCCCGUGACGAAGGACUGUUUUGCCAUGGCUCAGCGACGCCGCACGGGCGGACGCAGCAGCACGAAAAUACGCUCUGCGGAAUGAGAACUGACUGUUUCUAUUUGCCAGUGAAAAUUUUUAUGACUCUCAAGUUCAGCAAGAGGCCUAAAUUGUCAUUAAGCUAUAAUUAUAUCAUUUUAACAGUACAUAGACAUUCAUUUUUCUAGCGUGCGAAAUAUGUGACAAGGUCGUGCCCACUUUCGAACUUUUGUAGCUUUCAUGGCACGUUAGACGCUACGCUUGUCUGUUCUCUAUUGUUUUUCGAGAAACGAGGAAAACUUUGGCCUAAGUGAAUAUGGAAGCCGUCUGGAAAGCCAGUUAUGUACAAAACAUGCGCUGCUUCUCAAUAAACUAACUUCUUUUUUUUUCA